rnacentral:lncRNA from 1 species
UUAUGAGUAGGCUGUUUCCUCUAUGCCUCACCUAGGGGAAUCAACAUUUAGAGAUGAAACACUUCACUUAAGGCACUACCUCGGCUCCUUCCAUGUAAUAGAUGAGUCUGGAUAUAAAUGCCAGCCUCCUGCCUGUCAAGCCCUGCCCUCACGUUACAACACAUCCAGACUGCAGUGAGAGGUGGCAAACAGCGGGUGUGGAGGGUCAUGUUGUGUCUGAGCCCUUUGAGAAGGAUGGAAGAGGUGCCCGAGAGGGUGUCAGAUGGGUUCCUGGUACUUGUCACCAGGCCCGAGAGAGCUUAGGAAAUGGGUUCUGAGCUGGAGAGCAGGGAGAUGGGAUUGAUCAUGGGGCAACUGCUUGGCAGCGGGUAUCAGAACAUUCCUAAGCUAGAAGUUCCAAACCCAGGAAUGCCUCUUUGCAAGUGAAAGCUCACUACCACCCUGGAAGCCGCUGAGACCACUUGCAAACUGAAAUUGAUGGCUGGAUCCAUUGUUGGGAAGGUGUUGGACGGUUUGUGGCUUUGUAGUGCUCACCUCUUCAAGGAAUUUGCUUCAGAGAACAUUCCCUCUGCUCUCAAAGGGUCAACUAGGCAAAAUGUUAUAUUCAUUCAAGCAAUGGGCCUUUUCUGCAUAGCUGCUACAUGUGGUCAAUCCUUCUGGUCCCCAUAAAUAUUGGACAAACGCCUACUAUGUCUGAGACACUCUUCCACGCCACAGAGUGUGAUCAGCCCCGCGGACUGGACAACGCCUUCAAAAGGCUGAAGUUUAAUUUACUUCAUCUCCCAUUUUAAUACAGGCUCCUCUCUGCCCUUUACACCACAAUCCUGGGGGGCACUAAAAUACUGCUUAAAGGAAAGAGAGAACACUUUUUUGCAGUGUAUUUAUAACUUCCUCUCAAUUUAGGGUUUGACAUGGUUGAGGAGAAAACUAAAUAUAACCAGUGUUCGUAUUUUCCCUCAUGAGUCUAUUGGGCAUUGGAAAAAAAAAAGUCGAGAACACAAGCUUUGCGAAAAAGGCUCCCAGGGUUAAUGAGCAGUUGUAUGUAUCUCAGGGAAACAGUUUGUAACUAAAAAUAGAGUCUCUUUAAUUAUAGCAACUCAGAGCAUUUAAUACCCAGAUUGUACACUGGGCAGAAAUAAAUCCCCAAAGGGUGUAUGACUAAGGAAGGAUGGAGGGGCAGAGCUGAAGGGGUCACAAGAGCUAUGGCCCCCCCCAAUCCAAGGUUGCAUUAAUGCAUGCCUGAGUUUCAGUCAAAUAUGCUGAGUGCAUUCACAUGAGAAUUUCCUAGUCUCAAAGACAAUUAGAAAUCAGUUUGUAACAACGAAGCUAGAAGGAAAAACAGUGCAACAUGGGCUAUUUUUAGCACACUAAACCCAAUUAUUAAAAAAAAAAAGAGAGAAUGAGUAAAAGAUAAGGAAAUAUAAAUGCUACAGGAAAAGGUAAUAUAAACUUCUUGGUGUGUAGCCAUAGUUUACCAAAGAGGUGAUUUGUCUAGAACACUAAAGUCAUUCGUUUAAGAAUGGCCGUCUCUGUAUUUUAUUAGUAUUUGUUAAAUUCAGAUGUCUAGAAAGCUGCUUUCUCAGAUGAAUUAGAACUCUUAAGAUUUUGGUGGGGUUGCUAACUCAUGCUGCGUGAACUGUCCUCCCCAAUCCAGCCCAGCCAAGGUUCAUGUGUUGAAGCCCUUACUUUCAAAGUGGCAGCCUUUGGAGGUGGGCCUUUGGGACGUAAUUAGAUUUUGAUGAGGUCAUGUGGGUAGGGGCCUCACCAUGGGGUUAGUGCCCUUAUCAGAAGAGAAGGAGACACCAGAGUUCUCUCUCUCUCUCCACCAUGUGAGGACAUAAGAAGGAAGCCAUCUGCAAGCCAGGAAGAGAUCCCUGGUCAAGAACUGAAUCAGCUGCACCUUGAUCUUAGACUUUCUAGCCUCCAGGACUCUGUCGCGAGAAAUAAAUGUCUGCUGGUCAAACCAUCCAGUCUGAGGCAUUUUGUUACAGCAGCCAUGCAGACUCAUGCCUCAUACAACCAACCCUGCCACUGGUGUGUUUAAAAAAAAAAUGCAUGGCAUGGUUAUUGUUCAGUAGUCAAGGAAUGACCAAUUAAGCAUUAAGCAUGUUUUUCCCUUCCUCCUAGAGGAUUGAAGUCUUCUGGAAAUGUCGACAGGUAACGAUAUCCCCUAAUACGUGUUCCGAUCCUCAUCAGCCUUCACCCAAGAACAUGUUUAAGGUAUGUCCACAAUGUGUAGAUUUUAACUAAAAGGCAAGACCUGAAGAACUGAGCAUUUCUGUGGAAGUUUAAUAUUAAAAAGAAGCAGAGAGAGGCUGCCAGCAUUUUAAACUACUUAAUGUUGCACCUUCGUUUGGAAGUAGUAAUUGUUAUUGUCUUAGCAAUGGAAGACGACCUGGUUCUACAUACACAGGUAAAUGCAUUAAGGAAAGAAAACUUCCCAUAUGGAAGGAUUUUGAGCAUGGUAAUGCUUAUUUAUAAUGUAUUUGGUGAAUUCCCUCCUUGCAAAAACAACAAUCAGAUUAACCUGAGGAAUGGAAACCCAACAAAAAAAGGAAAAGAAUAGAAUCAUUCUUCUAAACCCUUCAUGCACUUUAUCUCAUGUUUCUUUGUAUUUUGGGGUCAAAUUAUAGUGGCAGGUAUAAUAGCACCCUGUACUGAUGGAGAAAUGCAGAGAAGUUCAAGUGAAGGGAUAAUUUAUUCCUCUCUGGUAGAUGCUUCCUCAGAAACUUUAAAAUAAUAGCUUUCCACUUCUAGAGGACUUUGACCAACCAUUCUUACAUUCUGUUGAUGCAUUUUUGUUUGUUUGUUUUUGUACAGUGAUGAAGGGUCCAGAGCUAAGGAAGAAAUUCCACUGCUAUUCUCAGAUGUAUAUACCCAAACAUGGGUAAAAACAAGGAAGCAUUUAUAGCACUGUGUAUUGUUGAAGUCCUUUUGGUUAAAAAUGGGACGAAACAAAACAAACCAAAACAAAACAAAAACAUUUUGGGCAGCCUCCUUCCCCUGUUGCCGACUCGUGAGGUAGGAUUGGCUGAUUUUUGUUGCUCUCUUCCCCAGCUUGUUUUAAUGCAAUAUGCAUAGUCUGAACGUGAACCAAAGGAAACUGCCACUUUUGCGGGUCAGAAAUGCAAAUAUUGGCCAUUUCUUAUAGUCAUGCUUAGAAUGGAUAGUUCUAGAUUUAUGUGGCACAGGUUGAUUGUAAAACUGAUCAAGAGUAGAUGGCAUUUUAAAUGUUCUCUUCUCCCCAUUCCUUAGUCUAUUCGUAUGAUUAAUGGACAUUUCCACGUGCUACACUUUCCGUGGAUGCACUCAGACUGUACUGGGACACCAAAAGGUUCCCAGGCUAGGGGUCGAAUUGGAGCUGUAGCUGCCAGCCUAUGCUACGGCCACAACAACACCAGAGCCAAGCCUCACCUGCGACCUACACCACAGCUCAUGGCAACACCGGAUCCUUAACCCACAGAUUGAGGCCAGGAAUCCAACCCGCACCCUCAUGGAUACUAGUCAGAUUUGUUUCUGCUGAGCCACGAAGGGAACUCCUGUAAGUUUUUGCCAUCACGAGAAUUAAGAGCCUGGAGCCUAGAGAAAUAGGCCUUAGGCUACCUUUUAUUCCCAGCGCAAUCCACAGCUCUCUCCCACAAAAAAAAAAAGGUGACUAGAACUCUCGCUGUUACAGGAGCAACUUGAGAUUGGCUUUUAUUAAGGUCAAUCAUUUUCCAAUGUCAGCAAUGAAGUAUUUCCAAGACUUCUGAAACCUAAUAUCCACGGUGUCCUGACCCUAUCGAUGAGAAUCCAUGGUGUUGCCUAAGAGUCUGCGGGAACAAAAGGGUUAAACUCUGGGCUUUGGGGAACAUUAAGAAGUCCACUUAUCUGGGAAACCUCUUUCAAUCUGGAUUCAGACUGUAAGUUAAAUUCAGUAGCUUUAAAAACCCUUCCAAAGGCUGCAGUCCCUUGGAGGAGGCUGGACAGAACCUCAGGGGUGAGAUUGAAGAAUAAAGACAGAGCUAGGGUGUCUGCAAGAAAGCCCAGCCACGAGUCUUGUCAAACAGGUGCUGGUAUCUCAGAGGCUGCAAUGAAAGUAAAUGCUGUAGGGCUCUGGUUGGUAAAGACUGAAGAACUAAAAUUGCCAGUUAAAGCAACUGCAGACUGAGCAUCAUUCGGAGCAGAUGUGAAAUGACCUGCUACAGAGAAACACCCCCAGGACCGCUCCUGGGAAUAGGUCUUCAGGUGACAAAAUUGGGACUAUGGCAGCAGGAAAGGAUACAGAUGGGCUAGGCCAGGGACAGGCCCCUUACGCUUAUCUGCCUAAGAAUGUUCGCCAGCUCCUUGGUGAGGAAGGCUUGGAAGUGAACACCAGAACUUUACAGAACGGAGUCUGUGGUUUGCUUUCUGGGUGUGGUGGUGGUGGCUGUGGUCCUGUGGGUGUGUGUGUACAUGCUUUUUCUUUUUAACCUCAUAGUGUGAGUUUCCUCACUUUCAAUGGACUCUUUUUUUUUGGUCUUUUUCUAGGGCUGCAUUCAUGCAUAUGGAGGUUCCCAGGCUAGGGGUCCAAUCGGAGCUGAAGCCGCCUGCCUACACCAGAGGCGCAGCAACGGCAGAUCUGAGCUGCAUCUGCGACCUACACCACAUCUCAGGGCAAUGCCCGAUCCUAAGCCCACUGAGCGAGGCCAGGGAUUGAACCUGCAACCUCAUGGUUCCUAGUCAGAUUCAUUAAACCACUGAGCCACAAUGGGAACUCCCUUAAUGGACUCUUUAUAAUGUCUUGAGUUAAAGAGUCUGCUCAGGUUUUUGUAGAGACAUAUCUAUACCAGGUGGGAUCCACUGAGUUCUUAGGGGAUUCGGAUUCUCCCAGGAGACUGACUACGCAGAGUGACCCUUCCAGACUGUGCAACCUGGGUGUGGUCCUUGAUAGGCUAGGACAACAGCUCCCUGCUCGUAGUCACAUACUCACUGCUUAUAUUUGGCAGAGUUAGGGAAGGAAACCUAUCUACAUAUUCUUUUUUUCUCAAAUCAGAGUUUCGGGAGAGAGAGAAUCAAGUUCUAAAGGCUUUCAAAUAAGCUAUAUAAAUGAUUUGGAUGUCAGGUAUGGCUUGCAUAAUUUAGAAUUGGAUGUCAUGAUAUGAUUGAAAAAGGGACAAAGACUUGAAUCUUAUGAGAAAAUAUUUUGACUGUUACUUAAAUUGAAAAGAAAAAAGAAAUUUGGAGUUCCUGUUGUAGCUUAGUGGGUUAAGAACCUGACAUAGUGUCCGUGAGGAUGCGGGUUCAAUCCCUGGCCUUGCUCACGGGUUAAGGAUCUGGCGUUGCCACAAGCUGUCGGGUAGAUCCCAGAUGCAGCUUUUGGGUCUGGCAUUGCCAUGGCUGUGUCAUAGGCCAGCAGUUGUAGCUCCAAUUCUACCCCUAGCCUGGGAAUCUCCAUAUGCUCCAGGUGCCACCAUAUAAAGAAAAAAA